UACGUAGGGGGCAAGCGUUAUCCGGAUUUACUGGGUGUAAAGGGUGCGUAGGUGGUUUCUUAAGUCAGAGGUGAAAGGCUACGGCUCAACCGUAGUAAGCCUUUGAAACUGGGAAACUUGAGUGCAGGAGAGGAGAGUGGAAUUCCUAGUGUAGCGGUGAAAUGCGUAGAUAUUAGGAGGAACACCAGUUGCGAAGGCGGCUCUCUGGACUGUAACUGACACUGAGGCACGAAAGCGUGGGGAGCAAACAGG
rnacentral:rRNA from 1 species